CGACUCUGGUUUCUCUUCAUUACGCACAAGCCUUUGCCUUUUACUAAAGACUUCCGUGGAGGGGAACACUACGAAGUUCAACGUAUUUUUGGAAGGGCUUUGCUUUGGCAGAGCC
rnacentral:snRNA from 1 species